UUUCCGAUUUUUCGGCUCGCAGAAGAGCACUGAAAU
rnacentral:other from 23 species